ACUAAUUUUACCCUAACACGCAAAACACUCUCUACUUCUCCACGCCGUUCGCAUUUUCUUCUCCAUUUUCCCCCUGAAAUCAAGACUUCUCCAGUUGCCACUGCAACAUCUCUCCACUGAUUAGAUCUCUCUCUCUCACUUACACCCACACGAGCGCCUAAAGACUCCAAACCCAAACAAUCUAUCAUGCAAUCACACCCUCCAGUCUCCAGGAACUUUGUUUCCUGGCUGGAAACGCAGCUCCGCCGUGCCAUGACCACGGCGACACCAUCUAAACUCAAACCCAUAACACGCUCUUCGAUUUAGGGAAUGGUGUUUGAUCUUGAGAAAGGAUCAAUCCUAUAUAUUGAUCUUGCAAAAUCUAAUUCCAGACCUAAGCACUCAAGAACAGAUGAUGAAUGAAGUGGCUUAGAUAAGAAGGCAAGAGCAUCCUCCACAUUUUCAAGGGGUUCUUCUGACUCUGGUUGGUGCUUGUCUAAUCUCUCACUUGGACUACAAAUUAAUUACUUAGUCACCCGAAGGACACAUCCUGAUAGAUGCUCACAUUGCACAUGUUUUGCAUGCUUGGGCGCUAGCAGGUUUUGGCAGCAUUCACAUACCUGGAACGGUCUUGGAAACCUCAAGGCAAGAGCUGCUAGUGAGAUAACAGCUGCCAAAUUGGUCGGGCGACAUUUCAGCUUGCUUUUCUUUUUAAGUCAAUUCCAGUUCCUGGCAGUUACUUACCUAUUGUUCUCUCCCGCUCCCAAUUGUGUAUUUCUGCUAUUGCUAUAUGCUCUAUUAUAUCCUUUUCUUUUAACUUUGAAAGAUAUAGUUAAGAUUACAUGGUCUUCAUAAAUCAUUAGUCCUUUGAGAUGCUUCCUAACAUGUCCUGUCUGCGUGUUUUCUUAAAUUUUUGUUGUAAAAUUGCAUUGUUUUUAUAAUCUGAUGCACGAUGGAUUUCAAGCUAUUGUCAAUGCACCCAAUUAUAGGACCAUGCCUUGUUUUCAAUCAUAUUAAUAGCCCAUUUUCGUCAAGACAAUCAUCUUGACCACAAUAAAUUUUACAUAUGCACGCUCGAACAAUUAUUUUCCAUUGUCAAUAACUUCAAGGAUCUUUGUUGUAAUGGCAGAAUAAUUCUUCAGUUCCCCCUAAUGUCCCCAAAAUUGGUACCCCAUGUCCAACACUUUUUGUGGCUGUCCAACACUUUUUGUGGCUAAUCUCAGGCAAUUAUAGGACCAUGCCUUGUUUUCAAUCAUAUCAAUAGCUCAUUUUUGUUAAGACAAUCAUCUUGACCAUAAUAAAUUUUACAUUUGCACACUCGAACAAUUAUUUUCCAUUGUCAAUAACUUCAAGGAUCUUUGUUGUAAUGGCAGAAUCAUUCUUCAGUUCCCCCUAAUGUCCCCAAAAUUGGUACCCCAUGUCCAACACUUUUUGUGGCUAAUCUCAGGCCAACCUGUACAGAGCAAGGAUUAAUUCAAGUCUUUUCUAGGUAAGAACCAUAACUUUUGUUAUGAAAUAUAUUAUUUUGUUAAUUUUUUUUUUGGUUGACAUUUUUUCUAUCAGAUGCCCAAGAUAUCUGAAAUUGAAGAUGCAGAGCACACAUGGAGCUCUAAUUGCAUUUGUUGAUUUUCAGAUUAAAGAGUUGGAGGAGCAGUUCAUCUUAUUUGAUCAACAAAAACAGAAAAUAAAAAUGCUUGAAGAACAACAUUUUCAAAUGUUGGAGAUGCUAAAGCAGAUCACUAUAGCAGCUGCAUAUUUCCAACGAGCUAGAGCUCCAACUCGACUGCCAUCGCCAUCUCCAACUGAUGAAAUGUCUUCCUCAUCUGCUAGUGCUAUUUCAUGAACCUCAACUAGUGACACUAGAGAUGCUAACAAUAUUGAUGGUUAGUUUUUUGUUAUAUGGGCAGCAAAUAUUUUGACAUGGGGGUAGGAUCAUCUUUUGGACUUUUUAGGAUUGCUUGCAUAUAUCCUUUUAGAUGAUGUACAUGGGUGGGCAUUUUGUUUUUUAGUUAUGCACGGAUAGAUAGCCACUAUGAAAUGUGGUGCA